UGGACUUUCAGUUCAUUCAAGAGAAAACCACCUAUUCACAUUUUGUAUUGUGUAGCAAUUUCUGCCUUUUCUUCAAUUCUUCCACACACCUUCUCUAUCUUUGUCAAUGGACUCUAACCAAAACCAGUGGGGUUCCAAGGCAUGGCAUCUUCUCUCUCUGCUUCGUGCUCAAUCCCCUCUCAUCCAAUGCAUCACCAACUUCGUCUCCAUGGACAUCGUCGCCAACACCCUCCUCUCCGCCGGCGCCUCCCCCGCCAUGCUCCACGCCGUCGAGGAGCUCCCUGACUUCACUCCCCGCGCCGCCGCCCUCUACGUCAACGUCGGCACUCUCUCCCCCUCCUGGCUUCCCGCCAUGACCACCGCCGCCCAAAUCUGCAACACGCUCCACACGCCCUGGGUCCUGGACCCCGUCGCCGCCUCCGCCUCCGCCUUCCGCUUCGAAGCCUGCCGGGAACUGCUCCGUCUCAAGCCCACCGUCGUCAGAGGAAACGCCUCUGAGAUCAUCGCGCUCUCACUCGCUUCCGCGGAACCGAACGCCAGUGCUUCCAAGGGUGUGGACAGUGUUCACGAUUCAAUGGAUGCAGUUGAAGCAGCAAAGCUCUUAGCUCAGACAAGUGGUGCCGUAGUUGCAGUGUCAGGAGCCACUGACAUUGUGACGGAUGGAAAUCGAGUUGUUGGUGCUCACAAUGGGGUGGCCAUGAUGCAGAAAGUAACAGCAACUGGGUGUUCAGUCACUGCACUGAUUGCUGCCUUUGUUGCUGUUGACAAGAGUCAUGCUUUGGAUGCGGCAGUGUCAGCAUUAGCAGUAUUUGGCGUCGCUGGUGAGCUAGGAAUGAAGAUGGCCAAAGGUCCAGCAUCGUUGCGAAUGCACUUGAUCGAUGCACUCUAUGGACUUGAUGAAGCUGCCUUGAAUUCUCAUGUUAAUAUCACCAGUCUGUGUUAAAAAUAUGAAGAUCCUGCAUUUGAAAUGGAUUUGAUUUGGUGGAAGACGCUUAUGAACUGCUGCUGCGUUGUUAAUCAUAUUGUCAACUGGUAGACUAGUGUAUGAAUAUGAACUAAUAAUUUAUGUUGACACCAUACAAUAGCUAAUGCCUUUAGAACACAAAAUGAUAGCUUAUUACUGAUUUGCUUCAUUUUUUAGUUUUACUUGUAAACUGCCAUUGACUGAGUUUGAGGCAUUUAUUGCUACUGCUUGUAUUAAAAUAUAAAAAUCCGACCACAAAUACUUAAAGCGCCAUAGUGUAUCAUUUUCUGUAAAAAAAAAAAAAAAAAAAAAAAAA